rnacentral:rRNA from 1 species
CGUCAAGUCAGUAUGGCCCUUACGCCCAGGGCUGCACACGUACUACAAUGGCUAGUACAAUAUGAUCCGAAUUCGCGAGAAGGAGGAAAUCUAUAAAACUAGCCCCAAUUCGGAUUGGAGGCUGAAACUCGCCUCCAUGAAGGUGGAGUUGCUAGUAAUCGCGGAUCAGCAAUGCCGCGGUGAAUACGUUCCCGGGUCUU